UUCAUAAUGACUUUAUAGAAACGUCUCGUAAUUGGCAACUUGUUUACAUUAAAAUGAUAGUUCUUACAUUAAACCGUAUGCUGAUUAGUGUAAUGUGAAUAUGUUAUAAAGCAAUAUCACUACUAUAACUAUAGUGUCCAUGCCGACUUAUCAAUAAGGCUUCUUUAUUUGCUCGGGUGUAACAUUGUGCUGUAAAUGAGCCCGGAGAUAUGUCAUGCGUUAAACAGUAUGAUUGUAUGGUGUGCUGUAAAUAUACAAUAUGUCAUAAAACAAUAUCACUAUUUAGAAUAUAUUUUGACUAGUGUUUAUGCCUCAACAAGUCUUGUUUACGCGACUAUCUGUUCGGGUGUAAAUGUAUCGAUGUAGUAUCGAUGUGCUGUAAAUGUGUCCGGAGAUUUGUAAUGUGUUAAUGUUUAGCCAUAAAUAUGUCUGGUAAUGGCCCGUUAACAAAGAUAUACCGCAUCUAUGUACCCAAUUAUCUUAUCUCAACUAUGCUUUACCGCCUUAGUAUUGCUUUAUAAGUUUGUUACUGUGGAGAAUACAUUAUAUUAAUUAUUAAAAACUUUUGUAGGAAUGUGGCAGCAUCACUCUCCUCUUCAGCGGGCAUUUGCAGAAAUGCGACGGACAUUCAUAAAGGUAACGUGGCUUCAUCGUCAUUUACUCGCACGGGGGCAUGCAGAAACGAACCCGAAAUUCAUAAAGUGAAUGUGUCUGCAACACCAACUUCGUCUGGUACCCGCACGUUUUGAACAAUGGGACGACAACAUUUAACUCCAUUCCCAAAGAGUUACAGUGUGUGAUGGUUUACAAAUGUAUACCUUAUUUUUUAUAUUUGGAAGUAUUUUUAGAUGCACACCAAACUUUCACAGCUGACCAUUUAGAAUCCUUUUCUUUUAAUUAGAGCCAUAUUGUACUGGUCAUAUAGAAUAUUGUUACAUGUAUACAUAUUGUUACUUUAUUAUUUAUAAUUACAAUGAAGCUUCUUCAUUUAUAAUUAUAAUAAAGCUUCUUAAAUCUA